rnacentral:rRNA from 1 species
GACGAACGCUGGCGGCGUGCUUAACACAUGCCAGUCGAACGGAAAGGCCUUGCUUGCAGGGUACUCGAGUGGCGAACGGGUGAGUAACACGUGGGUGAUCUGCCCUGCACUUCGGGAUAAGCCUGGGAAACUGGGUCUAAUACCGGAUAGGAGCCAUUUUUAGUGUGAUGGUUGGAAAGUUUUUUCGGUGUAGGAUGAGCUCGCGGCCUAUCAGCUUGUUGGUGGGGUAAUGGCCUACCAAGGCGGCGACGGGUAGCCGGCCUGAGAGGGUGGACGGCCACAUUGGGACUGAGAUACGGCCCAGACUCCUACGGGAGGCAGCAGUGGGGAAUAUUGCACAAUGGGCGCAAGCCUGAUGCAGCGACGCCGCGUGGGGGAUGACGGCCUUCGGGUUGUAAACUCCUUUCGCUAGGGACGAAGCUUUUUGUGACGGUACCUAGAUAAGAAGCACCGGCUAACUACGUG